rfam:Micromonospora echinospora strain DSM 43816 genome assembly, chromosome: I
CUUCACCGACCCGAGCAACAGCGGCUCGUUCCGGUCCUGGCCGUAGGUGGCGAGCAGAGCCUGCGCCUC